rnacentral:lncRNA from 1 species
GGAGCUGCUCCGGCGCGGUGGCCGGCCGGUUUCCGGCGGCGGCGCCACCGCGUCGGAGCUUUUUCUUUUUUUUUUUUUCAAAAUUUUUAUACCAAAAGCUUCGUCUCCUCCUCCUCUACACAAAUCCGGCACUAGUUUUAGCGAGAACGGUUCGGUUCGGACUAGAUCUACAUUUUUCUUUGAAAAUUUUUUCACACUUUUUUUGAAAAAAAACCACGGAUCUAGAUAUCCUUUUCGCUCUAGUGUCCGAAUCCGGCCUCAAAAUUUUCAAAAUCCGAACGUACAAGCCUAGAUCUACAAAUACAUAUCCGUAACAAACUUUUUCACACUUUUUCUACACUACACAUAUGCGCGCGAAAACGGAGAAAAAGAGGAGAGAAAUGCGUUACCUCUGUCGUAGAACGGAGAAAAAUCUUCGGAAAACUUCAAGUCCUCCUCUUCUCCUCGCGCGCGCGCUAUGUGUCCCGUCGGUGUUGUUUUUGCUCGAAAAUCCGGUACGUUUUUGUGUUGAUGUGAUGUUUCGCGGUGGUUUUGAGUGAAUCCGGUUCGGAUUUGUUGAUUUUGUGGUGGUUGGGGCUGUUUUGGAGCAGAUCCGGUUUGGAUCUGUUGAUUUUGGUGAUGAAGUGUUCUUGGUGUUCUUGGUGUUCUUCCUCUUUUUCUCAGCUUUUUUCUGUUUUGAUUCUGUUAUGGAUGAGAGAGAGAAAAAGAUUCUGUUUUGGGAGUGAUUGUGAUUGAUUCUGAUUUUUUCUGACUUGAUUUGACUGAUUGUGAUGGAUCUGACACAUUUACUAUUUAUAGCCUGCCAUGUGUAUCUGAGAACCAAUGAAAAAAUGACAUCUGGACCGUUUUGGACUUAAGGACUAAUCUGCAAAAAAGUUAAUAUGAGGACUAAUCUGCAAAUAAAAAAAAAGACUAAAAAAAUGCAAUUAAAAAAAGUAUUGGACAAAAAUGCAAUUUUGGGACUCUUUUGGGGGACCGAAAUGUAAAUAAAAAAUAAAAUGAAUUAAAAUUGGUAAUUGGUAAAAAGGUAAAGUGAAACGAAAAAUAAAAUCAACAAACGGACUAAAACGAACAAAUUACCGACAUGAGGUAUUUUAAAAUACCUCCCUGCCGAAAUUUUGACGGGAAAAGACCAAAAUGCCCCUAGGGACUAAACUGACC